GACGUAGGAGGCGAGCGUUAUCCGGAUUCACUGGGCGUAAAGCGCAUGUAGGCGGUUGGACAAGUCGUGUGUUAAAGCCCCUGGCUCAACUGGGGGAGGUCAUGCGAGACUGUGCGACUUGAGGGCAAGAGAGGCACGUGGAACUCCCGGUGUAGCGGUGGAAUGCGUAGAGAUCGGGAAGAACACCAGUGGCGAAGGCGACGUGCUGGGUUGCACCUGACACUGAGGAACGAAAGCCAGGGGAGCAAACGGG
rnacentral:rRNA from 1 species